AAGUCGUAACAAGGUUUCCGUAGGUGAACCUGCGGAAGGAUCAUUAUUACGUAUCCACGUAUCAACCCAAUCGUGAACUUGUUUCCCGUCUGAUGAGGGUUUCUGCGACCAUUUGAUUCAAUGCGUGAUGAACUGAAGGGUAGAGGAGGGCUUCGGCCCGACUUUCUUCAGCGUCAAGUGGUCGGUCCUGGAUUCUUCGGAGUCCAGCUCAUUGGAUGUGGUUUUCUUUCAUCAUGCGACUUAUUAACCCCUUGUACAAAUAUGAACUAAACAAUUGCUGCCCGAUCAAAAGGGUGGUAACAAACUGAAAUUAAAAACAACUCUUAACAACGGAUAUCUUGGUUCUC
rnacentral:misc_RNA from 1 species